CCUACGGGUGGCUGCAGUGGGGAAUAUUGGACAAUGGGGGCAACCCUGAUCCAGCCAUGCCGCGUGUGUGAAGAAGGCCCUCGGGUUGUAAAGCACUUUCAGUGAGGAAGAACGCCUGGUGGUUAAUACCCAUCAGGAAAGACAUCACUCACAGAAGAAGCACCGGCUAACUCCGUGCCAGCAGCCGCGGUAAUACGGAGGGUGCGAGCGUUAAUCGGAAUUACUGGGCGUAAAGCGCGCGUAGGUGGCUUGAUAAGCCGGUUGUGAAAGCCCCGGGCUCAACCUGGGAACGGCAUCCGGAACUGUCAAGCUAGAGUGCAGGAGAGGAAGGUAGAAUUCCCGGUGUAGCGGUGAAAUGCGUAGAGAUCGGGAGGAAUACCAGUGGCGAAGGCGGCCUUCUGGACUGACACUGACACUGAGGUGCGAAAGCGUGGGUAGCAAACAGGAUUAGAUACCCUGGUAGU
rnacentral:rRNA from 1 species